rnacentral:rRNA from 1 species
AACUCGAUCUCAAAUCAAGUAAGACUACCCGCUGAACUUAAGCAUAUCAAUAAGCGGAGGAAAAGAAACUAACAAGGAUUCCCCUAGUAACGGCGAGUGAAGCGGGAUGAGCUCAAAUUUAAAAUCUGGCUGGUUUACUAGUCCGAAUUGUAGUUUAUAGAAGCGUUUUCGGUGGCAGCCUGGGUAUAAAUCCUUUGGAAUAGGGUAUCAUAGAGGGUGAGAAUCCCGUCUUUGACUCAGUGCAUGCUACUAUGUGAUACGUUUUCAAAGAGUCGAGUUGUUUGGGAAUGCAGCUCAAAAUGGGUGGUAAAUUUCAUCUAAAGCUAAAUAUUGGCGAGAGACCGAUAGCGAACAAGUACCGUGAGGGAAAGAUGAAAAGAACUUUGAAAAGAGAGUUAAACAGUGCGUGAAAUUGUUGAAAGGGAAACGUUUGACACCAGUUAUGCGGGUGGAAAAUCAGUCUUUUGCAAUGGGGAGUUGUGGGCGUUCAGACCGCAAGGCUGGCGUUUGCUUCAUCUUUGUUGUAAGUGAUGCACUUUUUCAUUUGCAGGUCAACAUCAGUUUGCUUUGCUGGACAAAACCCCAAGGGAAGGUGGCAGCUUAGGCUGUGUUAUAGCCCUGGGGCGAUACAGUGGAGUGGACUGAGGUUUCGCAGUGUGUGCUCUCGGGCAAGGCUGACUGGGUGCUAUGGGAUCGUUCGGCGUACAAUGCAUGCAUUUUGCGUCGUGUCUUUUUCAUACUCGCUCAACUCGGCUCUUCCACACUUAGGAUGUUGACUUAAUGGUUUUAAACGACCCGUCUUGAAACACGGACCAAGGAGUCUAACAUAUAUGCAAGUGUUUGGGUGGCAAACCCAUGCGCGUAAUGAAAGUGAAACGUAGGUGCGAUCCGCAAGGUGCAGCAUCGACCGAUCUUGAUAUUUUUGGAUAGAUUUGAGUAAGAGCAUAUAUGCUGGGACCCGAAAGAUGGUGAAACUAUGCCUGAAUAGGG